CGUCUCUAACUCUCUGACGAGUUUUUUAGCUUGGCAAGCUCUUCCGAUUUUAAGAAAUGAUGAGCUAGGCCAAGAACGUGGAAGAACUCAUUCGAAAGAAGAAAAGAGCCGAAGCUCGUCCUGUUGUAGAUUCCGCCACUCCACCUACUUCAAAGAGAGCUAGGGCUACAAUGCCAUUGGUUUCUCCCACUAGUGGCGAGCAGUAGAUGGUUCCCCUAGUUACCGAGACAAGAGCCGAGGAGAGGGAGAAUGAGCUGGCUAAAACCUCUCAGCCUGCUGUUCAAUAGACUAUCGAGCAACUUCUGUCCGGGCAGUUGGUAGUUGACAACUUUAAACUGUCUGCUUGGUUUACCAAGUUAUACUCUUCUGAUCGACUAUGCUCGCUUGGACCUGGACGACGGUAAUGUGCUCACCCUCUGAGCUGUGACAUUGCAGAUGGAGCAGAUUACUUGUAUUCAGCUGCUUCGCGAGCAAAACAAAGCUUUGAGGGGACAUGCCAGUAUAAAGGAAUGGAAAUUGCUCUAUUGGCUAAGCCUGUCUCUGCCUUCGAGAAGAAAAUUCAACAGCAUGAGGACGACCUUCAAAAGUUGAAGGAAAAAGUGAGUGGUCUUGAAGCUGAUCUUGGAGCUGUCCCGGACAAAGCAAGCAAAGCUUAAGAAGAAGGUUAAGGAGCAAGAUGCUGAACUUGCCACCACCGCAAACGUUUGGCUGAGCAAGAUGCUGAGCUUGCCACCACCACAAACGUUUGGCUGACAUUUAUGUCAAACCCCAGAAUGACACUGUCGUUGAACUACUAAGGCACUGUCCAGGAGGUGAUAUCUCUUGGGUAGAUAAUCUCGGUGGUGGUGAGGAUAGGAUUGCUAAGGCCGAGUUGGCGGGGCCGAAGGGUGAGUGUAAAGGUAAAGAUGUAGGCCCCUCUACCUAAAAUCUUAAUGUAAAAAAUUUCUAUGAAUGAAAAGUAUUUUUU
rnacentral:misc_RNA from 1 species